GACUACAUAAGUAACUGGAAGUAUUUCCACAAUUUUGGCCACUAGUGUAUGCUGGGUGUUUUUUGUCUUUUUUUUUCUGCUGGGUCCAUUGAUUGGUAGACCUUUCUGCCAAUCAGCGCCAGCCGACGAAUAGCCUGCAAUCUGGGAGGAGCAAAAUGUUUAAAGAUGAGUGCACGCAGAGAUGGCUGAAGCUUGGGAAGCUCUUGUUUUUGCCUUUCCUUAAGCCACUUUUGACUUUUAUUCAUCAAAUCUAUAUGCACAGGAAAAGGGACUGGCUAGGCAGGAGGUGCACACCUACACAUUUACGUAGGACUGUUGAUGUUAAAUACACUAGAUAGGCGGGCGGAGGCCAACCCUUCUAUAUUUUGUGUGCGUAGGAGCUGCAGGUAUCCAUACAGAAGCAGCACGAGGAUGGAACGGUGCUGCGAUCAGGGAAUAGAGGGAUGAAUCACAGUGAAGGAGAACAAGGUUUCGACCAUGCAUGUGCUGUCCGAUCCGAUUCAGACAUUCCCCGAGGGGGGGGGGGGGGGUCUCUUGGGUACCCCCC